rnacentral:sRNA from 1 species
GUCCACACUUAUCGGUUUGUUUGAUGUUACAGCCAAGGGUCUGUAGCUCAGGUGGUUAGAGCACCGUCUUGAUAAGGCGGGGGUCGUAGGUUCGAGUCCUACCAGACCCACCAAGUUACGGGCGGCGGAGAGCGAUCUUGCCGUGAACUGGGGGAUUAGCUCAGCUGGGAGAGCACCUGCUUUGCAAGCAGGGGGUCGUCGGUUCGAUCCCGUCAUCCUCCACCAACACCUUGUGGUAGCCAAACGCAAGCAUCGAGAGAUCGGUGUUUGCGUUUGGCAUUGCCAAGACGAGUAGUAACUCGGCUGUUCUUUAACAAUAUGGAAUGUAGUAAAGGUGUCGCGGCGCGUUGAUGAGGCGCGCAAUUUAAACGCGACACUGGGUUGUGAUUGUAUCAACCAGUAUUACGAGUGAUCGAAAGACCGCUUGGAAUACGGCACAACGCGAGAACUCAGCCUAUAGCGAGACAUACUCGUUAUAGGGUCAAGCGAAUAAGUGCAUGUGGUGGAUGCCUUGGCGAUCACAGGCGAUGAAGGACGUAGUAGCUUGCGAAAAGCUGCGGGGAGCUGGCAAACGAGCUUUGAUCCGCAGAUGUCCGAAUGGGGAAACCCGGCCCGUAUGGGUCAUCCCUUGCUGAAUACAUAGGCAAGGGAGGCGAACGCAGUGAACUGAAACAUCUAAGUAGCUGCAGGAAAAGAAAUCAACCGAGAUUCCCAGAGUAGUGGCGAGCGAAAUGGGAACAGCCUUGUACUCUUUAGCAGUAUUGUUAGCGGAACGGAAUGGAAAGUCCGGCCAUAGUGGGUGAUAGCCCCGUACGCGAAAACAGUAUUGUGGAACUAGGUGUACGACAAGUAGGGCGGGACACGUGAAAUCCUGUCUGAAGAUGGGGGGACCAUCCUCCAAGGCUAAAUACUCGUGAUCGACCGAUAGUGAACCAGUACCGUGAGGGAAAGGCGAAAAGAACCCCGGGAGGGGAGUGAAAUAGAUCCUGAAACCGCAUGCAUACAAACAGUCGGAGCCUGGAAACGGGUGACGGCGUACCUUUUGUAUAAUGGGUCAGCGACUUACAUUCAGUGGCAAGCUUAACCGAUUAGGGAAGGCGUAGCGAAAGCGAGUCCGAAUAGGGCGUUCAGUCGCUGGGUGUAGACCCGAAACCAAGUGAUCUAUCCAUGGCCAGGUUGAAGGUGCGGUAACACGUACUGGAGGACCGAACCCACUAACGUUGAAAAGUUAGGGGAUGAGCUGUGGAUAGGGGUGAAAGGCUAAACAAACUUGGAAAUAGCUGGUUCUCUCCGAAAACUAUUUAGGUAGUGCCUCGUGUCUCACCUUCGGGGGUAGAGCACUGUCAUGGUUGGGGGGUCUAUUGCUGAUUACCCCGCCAUAGCAAACUCCGAAUACCGAAGAGUGCAAUCACGGGAGACAGACAUCGGGUGCUAACGUCCGGUGUCAAGAGGGAAACAACCCAGACCGCCAGCUAAGGUCCCUAAGAUUGGCUAAGUGGAAA